GGGAUUUUCAUUAACGGGACUUUUAUUUAAAGAGGCAGCACCCUGAGACAAGAGGCCUCUGUUUUAAACCUUAACCCCUGUCUUCAACUCCAGGUGUUUCUUGAGUCCUUAUUGCUGGUCAGUUCUUAGGGAACUGAAUUCAGUCUUCUGGAUCAUUCAGUCGGGUUCUCUGCUGGUCCAGUUUCACUGACGAGACAAAAACCUUCCUGCAAACAAAGAGCAAAGAAACAUUCCAGGCUGAUCCAGAACCCUCCCCCAGCAGGGUCACAUCACUGUCA